ensembl:lncRNA
UGUUAAAUUACCAAUGUAGUUCCCUCCCAUACCCACCCCCUCUAGUCACUGUGAUUUCUCUUUUUUUUUUUCUUUUUUGCUGUGAUCUCUCUUUGGAGAGAGCAGCUAGUCACUAGAGCCACUCACCCACUCACUGCCUUCACCCUCCUCCUCCUCUGGUCCCCAGUGAAUCAGCUUCUACCUUCUCUGCCAUAACCACCUCUGCCACUGCUGGCUCCACCACCACUUCCCUAACUCCACGGCCUCCUCUCUGUUCCAGUCAGGCACACACAUGGAUGGAUCUCUCAGAUGUCCUGCUAUGCAGUGGUUUUUUUUUCAUGGAUAUCCAAUUUGUGGUUCAGAGGGUAAAGCGUCUGCCUGCAAUGUGGGAGACCUGGGUUUAAUCCUUGGGUCAGGAAGAUCCCCUGGAGAAGGAAAUGGCAACCCACUGCAGUACUCUUGCCUGGAAAAUUCCAUGGACGGAGGAGCCUGAUAAGCUAUAGUCCAUGGGAUUGUAAAGAGUCACACACGACUGAGCAACUUCACUUCAAAAGGGAAGGAAAAAGGGAACAACUCACACUGCCAUGAGGCUAACUUCCCUCAAGUUAAUUUUUCUAUGUGGUGUGAAGUAAAGAUCAACUUAUUUUUUGCAUACAACCAUUCCAUUAUUUCAGCCUUACUUGUGGAAAAGAUGAUCCUUUCCCCAUUUUCUUGUAUUGGUACCUUUGUCAAAAUCAUUAACCAUGAAUGUUUGAAGUUUUAUUUUCUUGAUUCCAUUGAUCUAUUAUUCUAUCUUUAUGUAAAUAUCAUAACAUCUUGAUUUGGCUGUACAAAAAGUCUUGAAAUAAGGUAGGAGGUGUAAUUGAAUUUUUCUCUGCCAUUUUCAGUUUGUUCUGACCUUUAUAGAUUCUAUAUAGUUGCAUUUUUAUAUAAUUUAAAAAAUCAUUUAAAAUCAAUCUGCCAAUUUCUCCAAGAAAAGCCCUAUAGAAUUUUUAUUUGGAUUGUAUUGAAUCCAUAGAAUAAUUUCUGAAGCAAUGACAUCUUAAUAUUUAAUCUCUUAGUCUGUGGACAUCAUUGUAAAUAAAUUAGACUUCAUCAAAACUUAAAACUUUUGCUCUGCUAGGGUUACUUAAGAAAAUGAAAAAGCAAGUGAAAUACUGAGAGAAAAUAUUUUCAGAGUGUAUACUGUCAAAGACUUGGAUUAAUAGAUAAACUUUUACAACUCAAGAGAAGGCAAAAAAAAUUUUACGUUGGCAAAAGUUUGAAUAGACACUUCACAAAAGAAAAUAAACAGAUGGUAAGUUAAGUACAUAAAAAGAGACUCAACAUCUUUAGUCAUAAGAAAUUUCAAGUUAAAUCAUAAUGAGAUACAACUACACACCCACUAGAAUGGGUUAAAUUAAAUAGACUGAUAAUACUAAGUGUUCAUAAGGAUGUGAAACAAUUAGAACUCUUAGACUGCUUGUAUGAAUAUAAAACAGUAUCACUUUGGAAAAAAGUUUGGCAGUUUCUUAAAACAUUAAAAAUAUACCUACCAUGCAACCUACCUAUUUCACUCUUACUUAACAAAGAGAAGUGAAAGUAUAUGUGCACAUAAAGAUUUGUACACAGAUAUUCAGAAUAACUUCAUUUGAAAGAGCAUAAAAUUAAAAAUAACCCAGAUGCCCAUUACCAGCUGAAUGCAUAAACAAUGUCAUUCAUCCAUAUAGUGAAGCACUGCUCGUCACUAAGGAAUGAACUAUUGAUAUAUGCAACAAUGUAAAUGAAUCUCUAAGUAUGCUGAGUAAAAAAAGCUAGAUAAAAGUCUAAUUUGGUCUUAUUAGACCUAAGUGAUGAAUGAGUUUUUAUUCCCACUGAUUUUCCAUUUGACAGCCCAGUUUUUCCUGUUCUUAAACCUAGAAAAAAUCAUGAUGUCUCAAGAGUGGCUUACAGCAGUCUUAAUUCUUGUGGUCCUAUCCAUUAAGGCCUGCAUACCCAGUACUGAAUAUUACUUAAAUUACUAAUGCCAUCCAGAGGGAGAAGACAAUGGCAACCCACUCCAGUACUCUUGCCUAGGAAAUCCCAUGGGCGAGGAGCCUGGUAGGCUGCAGUCCAUGGGGUCACUAAGAGUCGGACACGACUGAGCAACUUCAUUUUCACUUUUCACUUUCAUGCAUUGGAGAAGGAAAUGGCAACCCACUCCAGUGUGCUUGCCUGGAGACUCCCAGGGACGGGGGAGCCUGGUGGGCUGCCAUCUAUGGGAUCGCACAGAGUCAGACAUGACUGAAGCAACUUAGCAGCAGUAGCAAUAGCAGCCAUCCAGAGACUGAAGGAGCUCAUAAUAGAAGACUCCCUUCCAAUCCUUCUAUAUGCACAUCACCUUCUUUGGAUGAAGAAUGGCCUUUGCUGUGUUUGAUCACUAUCAACUUCAACUUGUCUGCCCAGCUGUGGAGCAUCGUCCAGCAAGGAAUCUCUAGCAUGAAACUUCGCAAACCACUUUUGACACAUUCAAUCAGUCACAGCACCUUUUCCAUAUACCACACAAAUCUUUUUUUGCAUUUCAGUUGUAUUUUUUCCUUUCUUGAAGUAAUAAAGCAUAAUAUGCCCAAAAUGUUACUUUUUGCUUCCAUCUUCUAUAUUAAAAUGGCUACACAAAAAUCACCAAUUUUGAUAAGUUUUUUAAAAAAAUGCACAGAUAUGACAGCUAUCACAAUACAAUCUAACAAAAUUGUUUCAAAUGAAGUUAAAGACGACUAAGUGCUACUGGAGCCAUCUUAAUGGGAAAAAAUGAACUUUCUGUCCAACUCAACACAUAAAAUGAUGGUUCAGUUCAGUUCAGUUCAGUUCAGUCUCUCAGUCGUGUCUGACUCUUUGCGACCCCAUGAAUCGCAGCACGCCAGGCCCCCCUGUCCAUC